GACGAACGCUGGCGGCGUGCUUAACACAUGCAAGUCGAACGGAAAGGCCCCUUUGGGGGUACUCGAGUGGCGAACGGGUGAGUAACACGUGCGUAACCUGCCCUUGACUUCGGGAUAACUUCAGGAAACUGGGGCUAAUACCGGAUAGGAAUCCUAGCUGCAUGGUGGGGGUUGGAAAGCUUCGGGGGGUUUGGAUGGACUCGCGGCUUAUCAGCUUGUUGGUGGGGUAGUGGCUUACCAAGGCGUUGACGGGUAGCCGGCCUGGGAGGGCGACCGGCGACAUUGGGACCUAGAUGCGGCCCAGACUGCUACGGGAGGGAGCAGUGGGGAAGAUUGCACAAGGGGCGGAAGCCUGAUGCAGCAACGCCGCGUGCGGGAUGACGGCCUUCGGGUUGUAAACCGCUUUCAGCAGGGGCGAAGCUUGUGGUGACGGUACCUGCAGAAGAAGCACCGGCUAACUACGUG
rnacentral:rRNA from 1 species